rnacentral:SRP_RNA from 1 species
GCCGGGCGCGGUGGCUCACGCCUGUAAUCCCAGCGCUUUGGGAGGCCGAGGCAGGCGGAUCACCUGAGGUCAGGAGUUCAAGACCAGCCUGGCCAACAUGGUGAAACCCUGUCUCUA